GACGAACGCUGGCGGCGUGCUUAACACAUGCAAGUCGAACGCACAGUUUAUACCGUAGCUUGCUACACCAUAAACUGUGAGUUGCGAACGGGUGAGUAACGCGUAGGUAACCUGCCUGGUAGCGGGGGAUAACUAUUGGAAACGAUAGCUAAUACCGCAUAAUAUUGAUUAUUGCAUGAUAAUUGAUUGAAAGAUGCUAUUGCAUCACUACCAGAUGGACCUGCGUUGUAUUAGCUAGUAGGUGAGGUAACGGCUCACCUAGGCGACGAUACAUAGCCGACCUGAGAGGGUGAUCGGCCACACUGGGACUGAGACACGGCCCAGACUCCUACGGGAGGCAGCAGUAGGGAAUCUUCGGCAAUGGACGAAAGUCUGACCGAGCAACGCCGCGUGAGUGAAGAAGGUUUUCGGAUCGUAAAGCUCUGUUGUAAGAGAAGAACGGGUGUGAGAGUGGAAAGUUCACACUGUGACGGUAUCUUACCAGAAAGGGACGGCUAACUACGUG
rnacentral:rRNA from 1 species